rnacentral:lncRNA from 1 species
CACAGGCGACGACACUGGGACACACAGAGAUGAAUGCUUACCACACUGACUCAAAAAUAGUUAUGAUUUUGUUUGUUGAACCUGGGUUACGAGUAAGGCUCCAGGCAGCAGAGUGUGAAAGGUGUCAGACAUCGCAGAUUUGGUUACUGUGGGUGCACCGUCAGCAGGAAGCCCGUGGACGGGAUGAUGAAAACAAAUUGAUGGAAGUUGCAGGGGCCAUGAAAGUUGAAAAAGAGGCUUUCUCUAAGUUUUUCAGGGUCCUUCCCAAAGCACUGGUAUCACAAAUGGGAUCAGCAUAUGGCUCCCAGGCUGUCUACUUUGAAGGAAGUUGACUAUACAAUUUCUUCUGUGUUUCUUCUACGUUUAUUUUAACAAAUCAACUUACGAUUACAUUUUGUGUGGUAGAACCCGAGGCCUGGCAAUCUUUCAGAUGCAGAAUGCCAAAAGAUGAAUCUGGAGGCUACCAGAAGGCUGAAGAGGUUGGCUAGAAUAAAGCCUCUGCUGGAAGGUGCUGAAAGGAAUUCUUGUCUGGAGACCCUAACAAGAGAAGGAAGAGAUCUUCGGUAAAGUGGGCUCUGAAUUCAGAGUCAAGUCUUGACUCCCUAACCAUUUGCUCUGUGAACCUUUUAAAAAAAUUUUUUAUACUCACAUUUCUUUGUUUGUGAAAUUUGUGUAACAAUAUAUCCUUAAU